rnacentral:lncRNA from 1 species
UACUAAGAAGACCCGGAUUUUGAUCCUGAAAUGCAAAUGAUAGGAUAUGAUAUGAGAUGAAUGCCUGAAUGAAUGACUCUUUUUAUUUGAUUUGCUAGGGACAUGAUCGGACAUAAGAUAAACCCUAGCAUGAUGCUUUAUGAUGGAUACAGAAUGAAACAAAGAUCUGCGGGGAAUGCUGAUGGUCUACAGGGAGACAGACAAAUGGUAAAAAAACAACUUGCUGGGGAAAAC